rnacentral:sRNA from 1 species
UUCGCCUGCAGUUUAUGAGGAUGAGCACCUCCGCAGGAGGUUCGAGCCUCGCGAAGCGAGACAACGUUGCUUUAGCAACGGCCCGCAGGGCACGCAUCAACGAUGCGCGUAAUCCUCUCUCGCCGACCA